rnacentral:sRNA from 1 species
GGGUGGUGGGCAGUAUGCCAGUGGCCCCCAUGAUUAUGAAUAGCCCCAAGACUAACCACCCUUCUGUGAUGUCUGUCUCUCGAAAGCGUAGAACACCCCACACAGUGCCCACUUUUGUUCUGCCAGUUUGGAGACCCUGACACACCCACCUUCUCACCUGGGCUCUGCGUAGCCCCAGCCUUGAGGGAAGAUGAAGCCUAAACUGAUGUACCAGGAGCUGAAGGUGCCUGCAGAGGAGCCCGCCAAUGAGCU